rnacentral:rRNA from 1 species
CGGGUAAGUUCCGACCUGCACGAAUGGCGUAAUGAUGGCCAGGCUGUCUCCACCCGAGACUCAGUGAAAUUGAACUCGCUGUGAAGAUGCAGUGUACCCGCGGCAAGACGGAAAGACCCGUGAACCUUUACUAUAGCUUGACACUGAACAUUGAGCCUUGAUGUGUAGGAUAGGUGGGAGCUUUGAAGCGUGGACGCCAGUCUGCGUGGAGCCAACCUUGAAAUACCACCCUUUAAUGUUUGAUGUUCUAACGUUGGCCCUUACCGGGGUUGCGGACAGUGUCUGGUGGGUAGUUUGACUGGGGCGGUCUCCUCCCAAAGCGUAACGGAGGAGCACGAAGGUUAGCUAAUCCUGGU